GACGAACGCUGGCGGCGUGCCUAAUACAUGCCAGUUGAGCGCUGAAGGUUGGUACUUGUACCGACUGGAUGAGCAGCGAACGGGUGAGUAACGCGUGGGGAAUCUGCCUUUGAGCGGGGGACAACAUUUGGAAACGAAUGCUAAUACCGCAUAAAAACUUUAAACACAAGUUUUAAGUUUGAAAGAUGCAAUUGCAUCACUCAAAGAUGAUCCCGCGUUGUAUUAGCUAGUUGGUGAGGUAAAGGCUCACCAAGGCGAUGAUACAUAGCCGACCUGGGAGGGUGAUCGGCCACAUUGGGACUGAGACACGGCCCAAACUCCUACGGGAGGCAGCAGUAGGGAAUCUUCGGCAAUGGACGAAAGUCUGACCGAGCAACGCCGCGUGAGUGAAGAAGGUUUUCGGAUCGUAAAACUCUGUUGGUAGAGAAGAACGUUGGUGAGAGUGGAAAGCUCAUCAAGUGGCGGUAACUACCCAGAAAGGGACGGCUAACUACGUG
rnacentral:rRNA from 1 species